rnacentral:rRNA from 1 species
AUGAACGCUAGCGGCAGGCCUAACACAUGCAAGUCGAGGGGUAGAACACUUCGGUGUUUGAGACCGGCGCACGGGUGCGUAACGCGUAUGCAAUCUACCUUAUACAGGGGAAUAGCCCAGAGAAAUUUGGAUUAAUGCCCCAUAGUGUUAUCGAAUCGCAUGGUUUGAUAACUAAAGUUCCAACGGUAUAAGAUGAGCAUGCGUCCCAUUAGUUAGUUGGUAAGGUAACGGCUUACCAAGACAAUGAUGGGUAGGGGUCCUGAGAGGGAGAUCCCCCACACUGGUACUGAGACACGGACCAGACUCCUACGGGAGGCAGCAGUGAGGAAUAUUGGUCAAUGGGCGCAAGCCUGAACCAGCCAUGCCGCGUGCAGGAAGACGGUCCUAUGGAUUGUAAACUGCUUUUAUACAGGAAGAAACACCUCCACGUGUGGAGGCUUGACGGUACUGUAGGAAUAAGGAUCGGCUAACUCCGU